CACGAUUUUUCUCAUUAAUCUUACUUCGAUUUUCACUCGGAAAUGCUUCAAAAUACAAGAAGGUGCUGACUGUUCUGCAGCGAGCUCGUGCAGGGCCUGCGGUAGUGGACCAGACCUUUCGGAGUCAUGCACGCGCAUUACAGACAUAGGCCCAGGGAUGCGCUUAAGCCUUACACAACAUCACCUUUGAAUGGAUUCGGACUUUUUCAAACUUUUUCAUGAAAAUACACAACACAUAACAAGAUCUUCGGGUCCGAUCAGUUUCGUCAUCGCAAGUAUGCUUGAGCCUGAAGGUAAACAUCGCAGCAAUUUUAAUCCAGCUGGCAAAAAUCCACCCCUGCACCUCUAAUAAAGAUGCCUGGAGCGGCGAGCCUUUCCAAACCAUUGUCUAAAAUCGCUUUCCAGCCUACAGGUCGUGGAUCGACGGGUCCGCGGGUCCACAACCCCACCCUCCCUUGAACACACCAUACACACACAUCCGUUCUGAUUGGCCCAUCCAUCAGGUCUCCAACAAGCACUGAAUCCUGGGACUAAGGGAAAAUGAAAAAUCAUUGACUAGGAAAUUGGCAAGUAAAAGACCUCACUGCAAUUUAAGAGAAUCUCAACUUUGUGAAGGGGAGAUACUGUAGAGUCUAUGGAAAGGAAAAUGGAAAGACAGAGAGUGAGUGAGAGUUAACAAGCCUUCAUUUUGUGGCCCUGUUUUGAAUAUCAGAUUUAGUAUGAAAAUGAACAGCUGUCUGUUUAAUGUGUAGAUGCACCGAAUGAGGAAAGGCUGCUUUUGACACAUUUCAUUGACUAUUCAACUGAUAUAAAUCAUAUGAAGGAGUUGCUCAAUGCACUUUAUGUCAUUUCUUUAUCAUUUGUUGAUUUAAACAUGGUGCCCGCAACCCUGAGACCAUGGGUUCGAAUUCCAGAUUUGCCCAUAACUGAUAAAAUGGGACGUAAAUCACUUUGGACGAAUGUAUCGCAUGAAUGUAUUUAAAAGUUGUUUGCUCUUUUGGCAUCUUUAAUGUAAGUCUCAUGGUAUUUUGCAUCAGAUCAAAAUUCUCAUCACCAAGGAAAGCAAUGAACUACAUGAACUCAUGUGUCAUUUAGGCCUGUCUGUAAUGCAAAUGAAUUCCAAUAUUGAGGAUUGAAAGUUUAAAUCU